rnacentral:rRNA from 1 species
AAUGAACGUUGGCGGCGUGGAUUAGGCAUGCAAGUCGAGCGAGAACCCCGCAAGGGGGGACAGCGGCAAACGGGGUAGUAACGGGUAGGUGACGUACCCUCGGGUCGGGGAUAGCCACGGGAAACUGUGGGUAAUACCCGAUAAUCUCCUGAAGUGUGAAUGCUUUGGGGGCAAAGUGUGAUUCCACCUGGGGAGCGGCCUGCUUCGUAUUAGCUAGUUGGUGAGGUAACGGCUCACCAAGGCGACGAUGCGUAGGGGGUGUGAGAGCAUGACCCCCACCACUGGGACUGAGGUACUGCCCAGACACCUACGGGUGGCUGCAGUCGAGAAUCUUCGGCAAUGGGCGCAAGCCUGACCGAGCGACGCCGCGUGUGGGAUGAAGGCCCUUGGGUUGUAAACCACUGUCAGAGGGGAUGAAGUGCCAGAGAGCAAUCUCUCUGGUUUGACAUAGCCUCAGAGGAAGCACGGGCUAAGUUCGUGCCAGCAGCCGCCGCGGUAA